GCAGCAGUAGUUCAGAUGGAUAGAGCAACGGCCUUCAAAGAGCCGUCGGUCGGGGUUCAAAUCCCUCCUGGGACG
rnacentral:tRNA from 1 species